rnacentral:rRNA from 1 species
GACGAACGCUGGCGGCGUGCCCAACACAUGCAAGUCGAACGGGGUAAUCCUUCGGGAUUACUUAGUGUCGAACGGGUGAGUAACGCGUGAGAAACCUGCCUUUCAGUGGGGGACAACAGUUGGAAACGACUGCUAAUACCGCAUAACACUUUUAAGGGGCAUCCCUUUUAAGUCAAAGCUUUAUGUGCUGAAAGAUGGUCUUGCGUCUGAUUAGCUAGUUGGUGAGGUAACGGCUCACCAAGGCGACGAUCAGUAGCCGGUCUGAGAGGAUGAACGGCCACAUUGGGACUGAGAUACGGCCCAG